GUGUUCUUCCGAUCUGAAAAUAUGGAAAGAAGACACCGUCAAUUUAAUCAUUUUUUAAGUCUUCUUUGAGGUUAGGGAUGUUUCUUUUCCCGUACACACUUCGGAUUUCUUUACCCACUGAUGAAAAACGAAACACGCAGAAGCUGGGUUUCCUAUACGCGACUAUAC